GAUGAACGCUGGCGGCGUGCCUAACACAUGCAAGUCGAACGGAGCUGCUUUUGAUGAAGUUUUCGGAUGAAUUUAAAACAGCUUAGUGGCGGACGGGUGAGUAACGCGUGGGUAACCUGCCUCACACUGGGGGGAUAACAGUUAGAAAUAGCUGCUAAUACCGCAUAAGCGCACAGUUCCGCAUGGAACAGUGUGAAAAACUCCGGUGGUGUGAGAUGGACCCGCGUCUGAUUAGCCAGUUGGCGGGGGUAACGGGCCCACCAAAGCGACGAUCAGUAGCCGGCCUGAGAGGGUGAACGGCCACAUUGGGACUGAGACACGGCCCAAACUCCUACGGGAGGCAGCAGUGGGGAAUAUUGCACAAUGGGGGAAACCCUGAUGCAGCGACGCCGCGUGAGUGAAGAAGUAUUUCGGUAUGUAAAGCUCUAUCAGCAGGGAAGAAAGUGACGGUACCUGAAUAAGAAGCCCCGGCUAACUACGUG
rnacentral:rRNA from 1 species